AGCGAACGCUGGCGGCAUGCUUUACACAUGCAAGUCGAACGGGGUGAGGGGGCAACUCCUCAUCUAGUGGCGAACGGGUGAGUAAUGCAUCGGAACGUGUCCCGUAGUGGGGGAUAACCCGGCGAAAGCCGGACUAAUACCGCAUAUGCUCUACGGAGGAAAGUGGGGGAUCCGCAAGGACCUCACGCUAUGGGGAGCGGCCGAUGUCCGAUUAGCUUGUUGGUGAGGUAAUGGCUCACCAAGGCGACGAUCGGUAGCUGGUCUGAGAGGAUGAUCAGCCACACUGGGACUGAGACACGGCCCAGACUCCUACGGGAGGCAGCAGUGGGGAAUUUUGGACAAUGGGGGCAACCCUGAUCCAGCCAUGCCGCGUGCGGGAAGAAGGCCUGGUGUAACGU
rnacentral:rRNA from 1 species